rnacentral:rRNA from 1 species
UACGGGGGGGGCAAGCGUUGUUCGGAAUUACUGGGCGUAAAGGGCUCGUAGGUGGCCAACUAAGUCGGACGUGAAAUCCCUCAGCUUAACUGGGGAACUGCGUCCGAUACUGGAUGGCUUGAGUUUGGGAGAGGGAUGCGGAAUUCCAGGUGUAGCGGUGAAAUGCGUAGAUAUCGGGAGGAACACCGGUGGCGAAGGCGGUUCUCUGGGCCUUACCUGACGCUGAGGAGCGAAAGCGUGGGGAGCGAACAGG